rnacentral:rRNA from 1 species
AAGGAUGACGGCCCUACGGGUUGUAAACUUCUUUUGUACGGGAAAAAAACCCCUGAUCGUGUAUCGGGGCUGAUGGUACCGUAAGAAUAAGGAUCGGCUAACUCCGUGC